GAGGAAUUUUGCGCAAUGGGGGGAACCCUGACGCAGCAACGCCGCGUGAGUGAAGAAGGCCUUCGGGUCGUAAAGCUCUGUCGAGUGGGAAGAACAUCCGAUAGGUGAACAGUCUAUUGGACUGACGGUACCACAGAAGGAAGCACCGGCUAACUCCGUGCCAGCAGCCGCGGUAAUACGGAGGGUGCGAGCGUUAUUCGGAAUUAUUGGGCGUAAAGAGCGCGUAGGCGGCCUGUCAAGUCAGGUGUGAAAUCCCGGGGCUCAACCCCGGAAGAGCAUUUGAUACUGUCAGGCUUGAGUAUGGGAGAGGGAAGUGGAAUUCCUGGUGUAGCGGUGAAAUGCGUAGAUAUCAGGAGGAACACCGGUGGCGAAGGCGGCUUCCUGGACCAAUACUGACGCUGAGGCGCGAAGGCGUGGGGAGCAAAC
rnacentral:rRNA from 1 species